rnacentral:lncRNA from 1 species
CCAUUUUUGUCCAUCAUUAUUUGCCUAAACCUAGAGAAAAUAAGAACAUUAUUGAUUUCACCCUAAGGUUUUCCCUACAACGUUGUCAUCGUAUAUACAGACGACAGAGUAAUUGUUUGUCUUUGCUCGCUAGGCAUGCGUACGAGGUGAGGAUGGAUUCUCUGCUUUAUCAGUUUUGGCAGGACACUAUUGAAUAGCGAACACGGUGCAGAGAAUGGCUGAUUCAGUCUUCUUAUUUUUUCCAUGGGCCACAACAAGACUGUUUCAAUUAUUUAGGGCAAUUAAAAUAUCUGGUUUCCAAACACUAUCAGUCAGUGGAAAAGAAUUUGAAGAUGUGGAUGAAAUGAAUUCAGAUACAUUACAGAUGAAAAUAUGAAUGCCCUUUAAAGAGCUUCAAAUAUUCAUACUGAAAUGGCAAGAGGAGAGAUCUGUUUCUACGGGAAACACUAAUCACAAACCAAGACAAAGCUUUGAACUUCAUGGAGUCUGUAAGACAUUUUGGCCACUCACUAAAAAUCUGCCUGUUUUCCCAAAGUCAAAAUCCCCCUCUUCCCCUGAAGAGGUAACAACUUUAAGGUGCAUUCCAAGACACUCGGCUGUGAUUCUGAUAUCGAAUAUCAGCAAAGGAAGACCCUUCUCCCCCAGCCCAGCCCAGAGAGCAAUUGUGGAAAAUACAUUCUGAAAAUCCAAAGCUGGCAUCCCAGGACACCAAGUAGGCAAACAGUGGCUUGAACAGUGGGACUAUCAGAGGACAUGGAGAAAGGUGGAAAGAUUUAAGACCUUGGUGAUGGACUGUGUGUGUACAGCUGAGACAAAGACAGGGCAGUGCCAAGGAUGAGUGCCCCUUCGCACCAGGGACAAAGUGUGAAGGGUGGUGGGUCAUUGCUGUGUGAGACACGAGUGGCUGCUUCUCUCGCUUUGCUCUGAAGAUUAGCAUCUGUUAUUUCACCUCAAGAAAACUGAAUUGACAUUGUAUCUUUAAUUAUUCAAAUUAAAAGACCGGUGCUGUGUCAACUUAAAUUAUUAGAAUGGCCUGUCUAAGCUAUUCCUACUUGAUCAAAUUUAAGUCUGAUCAACUGAAACGCAGAAUAUGGUGAUGAUGCAGACAGUAAUGACUGUGUUGUUUUGAAAGCUUCUGGGCCUAAAGCAGAGUCAGAAGACAGAAGUUGAUAUAAAGCUGCAUGUCGGAGUUUUAAAUGAGAUUACUGGACUAGUUUAAACUUGCAAGUCAACUUUUUUGCCUUCAUUGUUAUUAAAAGUAAAAAAUGCGGAAGAGCUUGUGUAUUUAUCUGCAUAAAGAAGAAGAAAAUCUCCCCCAUCUGUGAAGCGC